CAGACACAAGCCGACAUGUAGGCUAGUUGUCAUAAACAACUACAGGACGGGAACGCUGACUUGUAAUAAUGAUGUUAUAAGCACAUGUCAAACGGUAAUUCGCUCAGGGAGAACGAGCAAUAUUUGUCACAUAUCGAGGGGAGCACCAGCACCAGGGUCUGACUGACAAGAGACCGAAUCUGAGAACCAUCGACCUUCACGCAAAAUUCGCCUGGAAAAACAGAAAGGAAAGGCAACUGGUGGUGGGUCAGAAGAGACUCCCUUAUCCUCGGUGUCAUAUGCUAGUCGACUAGUAUUUUUUUUUUUUCAAUUUAAAGUUUUAUUAAGUUAUCUUGUUUUUCAAUCAACCAACAAAACACAUUCCACAUUCACAGAUGUGACAGGCAUAAAAAGACUAAUAUUUUCUUAUGCAUUUUUACAAAUUGAACUAGGCAAGCCAGUUAAGAGCAAAUUCUUAUUUCCAAUGACGGCCUACUCCAGCCAAACCCGGACGACGCUGGGACCAUUGUGCGCCGCCCUAUGGGGACUCCCAAUCACGGCCGGAUGUGAUACAGCCUGGAUUCGGUCUAGGUACUGUAGUGACGCCUCUUGCACGAUGCAAGACCGCUGCGCCACUCGGGAGCCUGGUAUGUGAUUGCGGCAAGUGUCCCCACUGCCAAAAGAGGUUAAUCGAGCUGGGACAGUUCACUCAGCAGCUGAGUAAUAUUCACCCCAACGUUCUGGCCAAGCACCUUCAAAGAGGUCUGAUUCUCCCACACCCAGAGCUCCCUGUCAUCAAUAAGCCAUAUGGAGCUUCUGCUCAAGGUAUUGGGUGUUGAGGCAAUGUAUUUACACGCCUAUUACAUUAUGGUACAUAAGGCUUAUAUGGUCAAACACACAGUCAAGGAUUAUAUCAUGAAAGAGAUUGUUCAUUUGAAUGUCACUUGUAAAAAAAAAUACACCCUAAUACCCUGAAGUGUUUUAAAAAAUCACUGUGAUUUAAAUCCAAUAAUCUUCCCCCUAAAUGGGUCAAAGGAAUAUCAUGGACGUCUUCCAGUCCUUGCCAAGGUGAUGGCUGGCAUGAGGGCAGAGCCCCACUCCCAGCUGGAAGUCCGCCUUGGAUUGGACAAGGAGACAACAGAGACACUCUUGCUGGCAAGGACUGAUGAAGCACCGGACUAUGUACAAAACCUCCACAAAAAACACCAAGUGGAGAGGAAAUAUUGGUGUGUGGAUGUCUGUGUUUAGAGAUUCAGUUUAAGAUAAGGAUCCAGGCAGCACAUCAUAUGGCAUAGAGUUUUUGUAAUGACCCUGCCGUUGACAUCUAGCUCCCUAGUUUUCUUGGAGCAGCGGUGAUGUGUCUGUCUGGCUCUGGACCCAAGGGUUUUUGAGCUCAAUUCACACCUCAAAUCUAUUUUUUGGGGUUGCAUACACAUAGCAGACGUUAUUGCGGGUGUAGUGAAAUGCUCGUGUUCCGAGCUCCGACAGUGCAGUAGUAUCUAUCAAGCAGUGACGUAGCCUCUGAACCUCAUGCUACUUCCUGGUUUCCUUACACUUUCAGUCAUCUUCCUUUUCCCCUAUUCCCCCAUGCAGCAUUGCUGCUGUGGCCCGUUCCCUCUGAGGGGAUGAUUUGACAACCCUCAUAGAGAGAGAAUUCCCCUGGGCUCAGGCUCACUUCAAGAUAGGCCUGAGUCCUGUGUACAGGGUGAGUGUCGGCGGCGAGGGAGUGACUAACGUGCAGGCCAAUCGGCAGGCCCAGGGGGCAGUGACCCAGUACGCGCCCUGGACAGCAGCAAUGGCUGCAGCCUUGUGGAGCUCCAGCCCAUCACAGGGGUGAGGAUCCACACCCCAGCAUACGCUCUGGGGUGUCAUAUCCUUGGGGACCACAAAAACUUCCACCUUAGAAAUUGCUGGAUGGUUUGUUACCGAGCCUGGGAUUGAAACAAAGCAAGGCACGUCGCCUUCUUCCCUAACCCUGCACGCACGUCAGCUGACACUGCCAGUGAUAUCACUGUGUCCUGCCCCCUGCUGAAGUACUUCACCACCAGCACCAUGCGACGACUGCAGAUCCCCAUUCCAGAUAAGAGGAUGAAUGGUGCAUCAGCGGCUCCUCUGCAGAGCAGACAGGAUACAGAAGACUCUCUUAAAAUCAGAAAUACGGAGCGGCAUCACUUCAAGUGACCUUUGACCUAAUGGUUGUCCCAAGUUCCAAGAGCUAAGGCCUGACUGAAAUUCUUAAAAAGCCACACACACUCAUUCACAGUACAAAGGCACGUUUGGGGGGAAAAAACAGACUUUCUUAUUUAGCCUCCAACACCACUAGAAUAUCAAUACAUACAGGAGAUCAUAAAUGCCAAUAAAAAUACAUGUAAAAAAAGAAGAAAAGU